CCAGGACGGUGGAGUACAUGGCGAGUUCGUCGAUGAGGGUGACGAUGAUGGUCAUGUUGUCGUCGGGUUCGAUCUUGCGUCCUCGG
rnacentral:tRNA from 1 species